CUGCAGUGAGUGCCUUGCCAGCCCUGCCUGCAGGCUCCCUCCAUGCCCAACUCUGCCAUGGACACCAUAGUCCUCUGCUGUGCGCUCAUCUGUCUUCUGGGCACAGGUCUCUCAAAUGCCGGCAUCACACAGAACCCAAGACACCUGGUCAGGAGGAAGGGACAGGAGGCAAGACUGAGAUGCAGCCCAGUAGAAGGACACAAUCAUGUUUAUUGGUAUCAGCAACUCCUGGGGGAAGGUCUGAAAUUCAUGAUCUAUCUCCAGAGGGAAAGCAUCAUAGAUGAGUCAGGAAUGCCAAAGGAACGGUUUUCUGCUGAAUUCCCCAAAGAGGGGCCCAGCAUCCUAAGGAUCCAGCAGGCAGAGCGUGGAGACUCAGCAGCUUAUUUCUGUGCCAGCUCAAUAACCACAUCGACACAGAGCCGCAUCCUCUCAGUGCACAAACAUCCCCCAGACCUGCCUUGGGGACAGCGGUGGGCUGGGAAAGGAGACGCAUUACCUGUACAGAGAACAGGUCAGCUCUAAGGCAUUCUGCAAGUUGAGGAUGGAAAUAGGGGAGGCUUGUAGGA